UACGGAGGGUGCGAGCGUUGUCCGGAAUCAUUGGGCGUAAAGGGCGCGUAGGUGGCGGGACAAGCGUGCGGUGAAAGCUCGGGGCUCAACCCCGCGUCGGCCGUGCGAACUGUUUUGCUUGAGCACUGUAGAGGCAGGCGGAAUUCCGGGUGUAGCGGUGGAAUGCGUAGAGAUCCGGAAAGAACACCGGUGGCGAAGGCGGCCUGCUGGGCAGUAGCUGACACUGAGGCGCGACACGUGGGGAGCAAACAGG
rnacentral:rRNA from 1 species